rnacentral:rRNA from 1 species
UACGGGGGGGGCAAGCGUUGUUCGGAAUUACUGGGCGUAAAGGGCUCGUAGGCGGCCUUCUAAGUCAGACGUGAAAUCCCCGGGCUCAACCCGGGAACUGCGUCUGAUACUGGAGGGCUUGAAUCCGGGAGAGGGAUGUGGAAUUCCAGGUGUAACGGUGAAAUGCGUAGAUAUCUGGAGGAACACCGGUGGCGAAGGCGGCAUCCUGGACCGGUAUUGACGCUGAGGCGCGAAAGCCAGGGGAGCAAACGGG